rnacentral:tRNA from 1 species
UCCCUCUUAGCUGAGUUGGUAAAGAAUCUGCCUGCAAUGCUGGAGACCUGGGUUUGAUUCCUGGGUCGGGAA